rnacentral:ncRNA from 20 species
UGCUUAUCCAGAGUGGUGGAGGGACUGGCCCUAUGAAACCCGGCAACCUAUUAAUUUAGGUGCUAAUUCCAGCAGGUAUAUCCUGAAAGAUAAGGU